GCAUAUCAAUAAGCGGAGGAAAAGAAACCAACAGGGAUUGCCCCAGUAACGGCGAGUGAAGCGGCAACAGCUCAAAUUUGAAAUCUGGCCCCAGGCCCGAGUUGUAAUUUGCAGAGGAUGCUUUUGGCGCGGUGCCUUCCGAGUUCCCUGGAACGGGACGCCAUAGAGGGUGAGAGCCCCGUACGGUUGGACACCAAGUCUUUGUAAAGCUCCUUCGACGAGUCGAGUAGUUUGGGAAUGCUGCUCAAAAUGGGAGGUAUAUUUCUUCUAAAGCUAAAUAUUGGCCAGAGACCGAUAGCGCACAAGUAGAGUGAUCGAAAGAUGAAAAGCACUUUGAAAAGAGGGUUAAACAGCACGUGAAAUUGUUAAAAGGGAAGCGCUUAUGACCAGACUUGCGCCCGGUGAAUCACCCAGCUCUCGCGGCUGGGGCACUUUGCCGGCUCAGGCCAGCAUCAGCUCGCUGUCGGGGACAAAAGCUUCGGGAACGUAGCUCUCUUCGGGGAGUGUUAUAGCCCGUUGCACAAUACCCUUCGGCGGGCUGAGGUACGCGCUCCGCAAGGAUGCUGGCGUAAUGGUCAUCAGCGACCCGUCUUGAAACACGGACCAAGGAGUCAACCUUAUGUGCGAGUGUUUGGGUGUCAAACCCCUACGCGUAAUGAAAGUGAACGCAGGUGAGAGCUUCGGCGCAUCAUCGACCGAUCCUGAUGUUCUCGGAUGGAUUUGAGUAAGAGCAUAUAGGGUUGGACCCGAAAGAAGGUGAACUAUGCGUGUAUAGGGUGAAGCCAGAGGAAACUCUGGUGGAGGAUCGCAGCGGUUCUGACGUGCAAAUCGAUCGUCAAAUAUGCGCAUGGGGGCGAAAGACUAAUCGAACCUUCUAGUAGCUGGUUUCCGCCGAAGU
rnacentral:rRNA from 1 species